rnacentral:rRNA from 1 species
UACUACCUUUGGGUGGGGAAUAACAGCCGGAAACGGCUGCUAAUACCGCAUAAUGCAGCGGCACCACAUGGUGACAGUUGUUAAAGCGGGGGAUCGUAAGACCUCGCGCCUGAAGAGGAGCCUGCGGCGGAUUAGCUAGUUGGUAGGGUAACGGCCUACCAAGGCAACGAUCUGUAGCCGGCCUGAGAGGGCGGUCGGCCACACUGACACUGACAUACGGGUCAG